rnacentral:rRNA from 1 species
AAUCAACGCUGGCGGCGUGCCUCAGACAUGCAAGUCGAACGCGAAAGGUUCCUUCGGGAGCCGAGUAGAGUGGCGCUCGGGUGAGUAACACGUAGGUAAUUUGCCUUUGGGUGGGGAAUAACAAUCGGAAACGGUUGCUAAUACCGCAUAAUGCAGCGGCUCGACAUCGAGACAGUUGUUAAAGCGGGGGAUCCUUCGGGACCUCGCGCCUAAAGAGAAGCCUGCGGCGGAUUAGCUAGUUGGUGAGGUAAUGGCUCACCAAGGCGACGAUCCGUAACCGGCCUGAGAGGGCGGACGGCACACUGACACUUAAAUACGGGUCAGACUCCUACGGGAGGCAGCAGUCGGGAAUUUUGGGCAAUGGGCGAAAGCCUGACCCAGCAACGCCGCGUGAAGGAUGAAAUCCCUCGGGAUGUAAACUUCGCAAGAACGGGAAGAAUAAGCGAGAGUAAAUACCUCUCGUGAUGACGGUACCGUUUGUAAGCUCCGGCUAACUCCGUGCCAGCCGCCGCCGUAAU